AUUGAACGCUGGCGGCAGGCCUAACACAUGCAAGUCGAACGAGUGGCGUCCGGGUGAGUAAUGUCUGGGAAACUGCCUGAUGGAGGGGGAUAACUACUGGAAACGGUAGCUAAUACCGCAUACCAUCAGAUGUGCCCAGAUGGGAUUAGCUAGUUGGUGGGGUAACGGCUCACCAAGGCGACGAUCCCUAGCUGGUCUGAGAGGAUGACAGGCAAAAUUGGAACGUAGACACGGUCCAGACUCCGACGGGAGGCAGCAGUGGGGAAGAUUGCACAAUGGGCGCAAGCCUGAUGCAGCCAGGCCGCGUGUAUGAAGAAGGCCUUCGGGUUGUAAAGUACUUUCAGCGGGGAGGCGUUACCCGCAGAAGAAGCACCGGCUAACUCCGUGCCAGCCGCCGCGGUAAUC
rnacentral:rRNA from 1 species